UACGAAGGGUGCAAGCGUUACUCGGAAUUACUGGGCGUAAAGCGUGCGUAGGUGGUUCGUUAAGUCUGAUGUGAAAGCCCUGGGCUCAACCUGGGAAUGGCAUUGGAAACUGGCGACCUAGAGUGCGGUAGAGGGUAGUGGAAUUCCCGGUGUAGCAGUGAAAUGCGUAGAGAUGUGGAGGAACACCAAUUGCGAAGGCAGCUGGGUAAAAGAAUAUUGACACUGAAGCACGAAAGCGUGGGGAUCAAACAGG
rnacentral:rRNA from 1 species